CGAAAACGAAUUCUCUCUUGAGUGGAUCCUGAGUACGACGGAGCACGUGAAAUUCCGUCGGAAUCUGGGAGGACCAUCUCCUAAGGCUAAAUACUCUCUAGUGACCGAUAGUGAACCAGUACCGUGAGGGAAAGGUGAAAAGUACCCCGGAAGGGGAGUGAAAGAGAACUUGAAACCGUGUGCUUACAAGUAGUCAGAGCCCGUUAAUGGGUGAUGGCGUGCCUUUUGUAGAAUGAACCGGCGAGUUACGAUCUGAUGCAAGGUUAAGCAGAAAAUGUGGAGCCGUAGCGAAAGCGAGUCUGAAUAGGGCGAAUGAGUAUUUGGUCGUAGACCCGAAACCAGGUGAUCUACCCUUGGUCAGGUUGAAGUUCAGGUAACACUGAAUGGAGGACCGAACCGACUUACGUUGAAAAGUGAGCGGAUGAACUGAGGGUAGCGGAGAAAUUCCAAU
rnacentral:rRNA from 1 species